CUAGGACCAAAAGGGGGUCAGACUUAGUGAGUUAAGGUUAUAGUACUGGCUGAGUUAGUCAGGACAAGAGCAGAUUCUGUUAGGAUCAUUUCACUCAGCUGUAGUUCACAAACUAUCAAAAAUCAGUAUAGAGGGCUGGAAUAUAAUUGCUGCGGAGAGGGAUUGGCUUGUAAAACACAUCCUAUUAUCAGCUGUGAUCAAGCUUACAAAUUCCCCAGUCCAAGUAUCUGCUCAGAUUGCCUUUUGCGGGGGGCGGGUAGGGAGG